rnacentral:rRNA from 1 species
CACAAUGGGCGAAAGCCUGAUGCAGCAACGCCGCGUGAGGGACGAAGGCCUUCGGGUCGUAAACCUCUUUUCUGAGGGACGAGCAAGGACGGUACCUCAGGAAUAAGUCUCGGCUAACUACGUGCCAGCAGCCGCGGUAAAACGUAGGAGGCGAGCGUUAUCCGGAUUUACUGGGCGUAAAGCGUACGCAGGUGGCCAUGCAAGUCGGACAUGAAAGCUCCUGGCUUAACUGGGAGAGGUGGUUCGAAACUGCAUAGCUUGAGGUUGGGAGAGGGACGUGGAAUUCCCGGUGUAGUGGUGGAAUGCGUAGAUAUCGGGAGGAACACCAGUGGCGCAAGCGGCGUCCUGGCCCACACCUGACGCUGAGGUACGAAAGCGUGGGUAGCAAACAGGAUUAGAUACCCUGGUAGUCCACGCUGUAAACGAUGUCAACUAGGUGUCGGCAGUUUUACACUGGCGGUGCCGAAGCCAACGCGUUAAGUUGACCGCCUGGGGACUACGGCCGCAAGGCUA